AUGCCAGUUUAUAUGUUCUGAAGAUACAGUGUCUGGUAAAGCAUAUGACGAUGCAAUCCUAGUAUAAACCUUCCGUGUGUUUCUGUUCUGUCUUAGGCAUUAAAGGAUGUGUCUUUUUGGCUACUGCUCUGCUGGAGCUGAAACUUUCCCAAAACUCACAGCUAAGCAGUUCAGUGUGUGUUGCAUGGGACAGCUACAGAAUUCCAAUUACUGCAAUGAAGCUGUCUAUCUAAACACAGAAAUAUUUAUCUAAUCAACGGUGAACUUCUUUUAUCAUCAGAUUAGUCCUGCACUUUCACAGAGGAGAGCUACGCUAAAACCUGUCAAAACUUAAUCUCUUGCAUAUCCUUCUUAAAUAUUGUGUUUUGUGCUUUUCCCCACUGUAAAACCUGUUACUGAUCCCUCCUAAGAAUGAGUGAAGGAUUUGUGACAAUAUUUGCAGGUUAUUAGAAAAUCACAGGAACACUGAUGUCUUCAAGAUUUUGCAAAAUGUUCUGCUUUUUGUGUAAAUUUUAACACACUUAUUUAAGACAUGGCAUUUAUUUUAGAAAUAUUUCUCUGGUGGGCAUCAAUUUUCAGAGGAAGAAAAAAAUCAAUGGCUUGAUUUAGUGCUGGUUGCUAAUUUUCAAAAGUUUUGAGAAAAAGUGACAUAACUCAUAAACUAUUUCUAAGGGUUUACUGCUUUCUUUUGUGUUUAAUACUGGUUACUGAUAGCAAAUGUAGUGCCUGUGCUGUGAAGUGUUACAGCUGUGUCUAAUUUACAUAUUUCCUGUGUUUUUUAGUGAAAUUAAGAUAUUUUCCAUGUAUUUAGUUGCUGCCUGCCUGAUUUCUUCCUAUGUUGAUACAUUAAUAACUCAAACAGAUAGUGAUGUGCUUUCAUUUUGCUUUACAGCACCUCUUAAAGUUUAGGAAUAACAGGAAACUCUCUUGUUGGCUUAUCACAGAGUUAAAAUUGCAAAUAUAAACACAAUGUACUGGUUUAUAGGUUGAGGAAGUACCAUAUCACAGAUCAAUGCAACUCAGGUUGAUUCCAGUGGGGAUUAUUAAUGUAUGUCAGCUCUAAAUUCGGUCCUGCAUUUUGGGGAUUUUACUACCUAUUGCUGCUGGUUAGUUUCAGUGUCUUUAAAAUCUGC
rnacentral:lncRNA from 1 species